CCCCACUGUGAGAUUCAAUGAUUCCUUGGUGGAGAAAGAAGCAUUUGAUGUGGAGCCUGACACACCUGAAUGGAUGAACUAAUAAAUGAUUAAGAAGUAAGUACACCAGCAAGUUUCUUGUGCCUGGACUAAAGAUGGAGUAUAGGAUGAGUAGUAGAAGAUGUAACAACUGGGACUGGAUUACAGAUGGUCUUUGUAUUAGUCUAUUCUCACACUGCUAUAAAGAAAUACCUGAGACUGGGUCAUUUAUAAAGAAAAGAGAUUUAAUUGGCUCAUGAUCCUGCAUGCUGUACAGGAAGCAUGAUGCUGUUGUCUGCUUGGCUUCUGGGGAGGCCUCAGGAAACUUAACAAUCAUGGCGGAAGGCGAAGGGGGCACAGGCAUGUCACGUGGCCAGAGCAGGAGCAAAAGAGGAGGAGGAGGUGCUACACGUUAAACAUCCACAUCUCCCAAGACUCACUCACUAUCGUGAGGAUAGUACCAAGGGGAUGGUGCUAAGCCAUUUGUGAGAAAUCUGCCCCGUGAUCAAAUCACCUUCUACCAGGCCCCACCUCCAACACUGGAGAUUACAAUUCCACAUGAGAUUUGGGUGGGGACACAGAUUCAAACCAUAUCGGUCCUGUGGGCAAGGCAGUGCCCUGAAGACUUUAAAGUAAGAGAAGAACAUGACUCCGUUGGUGCACAGUGCAUCUUGCUGGAUGCUGGGUGCUUGGAGAACUGCUGGUUCCGGGUGGGCGCAGGCAAAGUCCAUUAUUUAUAAUUUUAUAUUAUUUGUAGCACCUAGCAUGGUGUUAGACCCAUAGUAGAUGUUUAAUAAAUAUUUAAUGAAUGACUGCUUUACCUGCUUAAUUAUGUAAAAGUCUUAUCUGAAAAUAUCAAGAUUUAAAAAAACCCACAAAUAUAAAAUUUAACUAUAG
rnacentral:lncRNA from 1 species